GGAGCGGCCAUGGCUGACUGGUUACGCUUUUCGCUUUGUAAGCAAAUGGUCCUGGGUUCGAUUCCCAUCUGCUCCC
rnacentral:tRNA from 1 species